AACGAACGCUGGCGGCAUGCCUAACACAUGCAAGUCGAACGAGACCUUCGGGUCUAGUGGCGCACGGGUGCGUAACGCGUGGGAAUCUGCCCUUUGGUUCGGAAUAACAGUUGGAAACGACUGCUAAUACCGGAUGAUGACGAAAGUCCAAAGAUUUAUCGCCAGAGGAUGAGCCCGCGUAGGAUUAGCUAGUUGGUGUGGUAAAGGCGCACCAAGGCGACGAUCCUUAGCUGGUCUGAGAGGAUGAUCAGCACACUGGGACUGAGACACGGCCCAGACUCCUACGGGAGGCAGCAGUGGGGAAUAUUGGACAAUGGGCGAAAGCCUGAUCCAGCAAUGCCGCGUGAGUGAUGAAGGCCUUAGGGUUGCAAAGCUCUUUUACCCGGGAUGAUAAUGACAGUACCGGGAGAAUAAGCUCCGGCUAACUCCGUGCCAGCCGCCGCGGUAA
rnacentral:rRNA from 1 species